rnacentral:rRNA from 1 species
UACGGAGGGAGCUAGCGUUGUUCGGAAUUACUGGGCGUAAAGCGUGUGUAGGCGGAUUGGUAAGUACCUUGUGAAAUCCCACAGCUUAACUGUGGAACUGCUCGGUAUACUGCUGAUCUUGAGCCACUCAGGGGCUACCGGAACAAAUGGUGGAGCGGUGAAAUGCGUAGAUAUCAUUUGGAACGCCAAUGGUGAAAACAGGUAGCUGGGGGUGUGCUGACGCUGAGACACGAAAGCCAGGGGAGCAAACGGG